rnacentral:ncRNA from 1 species
AUGGGAGAAACUUAGAUGUUCUUGGCAUUCUGUUAUAGACUCAGCAAUUUCCAACAUGGAUGUUGGAAAAGUUGCAAUGGAGCCAUGGAUGGCGACUUUGCAACGGUUGCGUGAAUUAUAGUGUAAUACCAUUCAGAAUGCUUAGAACAUCUUAGUUUCGGAC